UCUAAAACAAUAAUAAAGCAGUAAUAAUAAUAAUAAUUAAUAUUAAUAGGUUUUUCUCUAUCAUUUUUCUGGUUUUUCCUCCUCCCGCGGAGCUCCGGAGCAGCGGCGCUCGGCGGGAAUUCAGGCCGGAGACGGAGCUCCUCUCAGCGGCCUCCGCGCGCCGCGUCAGCCGGUGAUGGAUGGAUCCGCGUCCGAGAGGAAACGUUGAGCCGUGUGACAGCCGUCACCUCAGCCGAGCCGAGUCCAUCUGAGCUCAAACAAAGCGAGUGAGGAAGAGGAGGAGGAGGAAGAGGAGGGCUGUGGGGUGUCUCUGGCGUCUGGAGCUGCUGCUGCUGCGAUUCGACACAGUCAGCGUCUCUUCGGCUCAGCUUACCUACACACACACACGCACACACACACACACACACACACAUCCUUUCAAUAAAACUGAUGAUGACAUCCAUCCUCUUCUUCUUCUUCAUGAUGAUGAUGAUGAGGAGCCACUUUUGUUUGGGAUUU